GACGAACGCUGGCGGCGUGCUUAACACAUGCAAGUCGAACGGUGAAAGCGGAGCUUGCUCCGCUGGCUCAGUGGCGAACGGGUGAGUAACACGUGGGCAACCUGCCCCUCACUUCGCGAUAACUCCGGGAAACCGCGGCUAAUACCGCACAUGACCUCCUUAGGCAUCCUCGCAGUCGGACCGCUUCUCGGUGAGGGAUGGGCCCGCGGCCUAUCAGCUUGUUGGUGAGGUAGUGGCUCACCAAGGCGACGACGGGUAGCCGGCCUGAGAGGGCGACCGGCCACACUGGGACUGAGACACGGCCCAGACUCCUACGGGAGGCAGCAGUGGGGAAUAUUGCGCAAUGGGCGAAAGCCUGACGCAGCAACGCCGCGUGCGGGAUGACGGCCUUCGGGUUGUAAACCGCUUUCAGCAGGGAAGAAGCCGCAAGGUGACGGUACCUGCAGAAGAAGCACCGGCUAACUACGUGCCAGCAGCCGCGGUAA
rnacentral:rRNA from 1 species